UUUUUGUAGUUCGUUCCAGUCAUUGGCAGCAGAGGAGAGGCAGCCGAAGGAUAAUGCAGUAACCAAAGAUUAUCAUAGGGAUUUUCAGGCUGAACUGAUGGGGAAUCCAUUUCAACUACAGCUGAGAAGUGAUGCGAUCCCAUUAUUAUUUUACAUUUUUUACAAAACGGAAGAUUCUCAAUUAGAGUCAUUCCACAGUGCUCUGCUGAAAAAUACCCCAAAGCGGGGGCAUUUUGGGUACGAGGGAGAGGACACACUUUGCGGUUAUGGAGCACACCAAGAUUGUGGGACAGAAACUAGCAAGGGACACUAAAAGCAGACAUGAAGUACCAGCAAAUCUUCUGCAAAAGGACCAAACAGUUGGUGGUUAAGAAGCCCUACACCACUUCUGGCAGAGUCUUAUCCAGCUGGCUGUUCCCCGCAGACAGGACAAGCCCAUUGCCAUAAGCACAAAGUCUCAGCUUCCCCAGCCCACCAUUGCCAGUGUACCAAAGCCUGAUAAAGGACUAUGGCUGCGUUUACACUGACAGACUAGUUCUGAUAAUUUUUUCACAAAUUGUUCUUUUGACCAAUCAGAUCAGUUCUGAAAAUUGUCUGAUGCAAUUAAUACCAAUUAGUGGAAAGAAAUAUCAUAAUUGGGCUGCCUGUGUAAACGCAGUCAGUGUGUCUCAGCAUAAGACAUUGUAGAACAGGGGUCUCCAACCCUGUUCCUGUAGAGCUAUCCUCCUGUAGGUUUUCGCUCCAACGCGUAUCAACCAGCUAAUUAUUAGAAUCAGGUGUUCUAGAUUAGGAUUGCUGUGAAAAACUACAGUAUGGUAGCUCUAAUUGAACAGGGUUGGAGAGCCGUCAUGUAAGAAUUACCACAAAAUAAAUAGAUAUAUGCUCUAUCAAUCUUUGAAAUGUGUCUGCCCUUAUGGAUUCACAGAAUAUAUUUAUAUAAGCUUUGUAGCGUCGAACAGGUGCUAGACAUCCAAAGAACGUUUGUUUAUUUGUCAAAAUGUAAAAUACAG
rnacentral:lncRNA from 1 species